GCGGGUGUGUCCGAGUGGUUAGGAGCAGGUCUGCAAAACCUGUCACACGGGUUCGAGUCCCGUCGCUCGCU
rnacentral:tRNA from 1 species